GGAUGUCGAAUGGGCGCAGCCUGACGACGCAACGCCGCGUGGAGGACGAAGAUCUUCGGGUCGUAAACUCCUUUCGAUCGGGACGAACGGCUUCCGGGUGAAUAAUCCGGAAGAGUGACGGUACCGAGAGAAGAAGCCCCGGCUAACUCCGUGCCAGCAGCCGCGGUAAUACGGGGGGGGCAAGCGUUGUUCGGAAUUACUGGGCGUAAAGGGCUCGUAGGCGGCCAACUAAGUCCGACGUGAAAUCCCCAGGCUUAACUUGGGAACUGCGUCGGAUACUGGUUGGCUUGAAUCCGGGAGAGGGAUGCGGAAUUCCAGGUGUAGCGGUGAAAUGCGUAGAUAUCUGGAGGAACACCGGUGGCGAAGGCGGCAUCCUGGACCGGCAUUGACGCUGAGUGAGCGAAAGCCAGGGGAGCAAACGGGAUUAGAUACCCCGGUAGUCCUGGCCCUAAACGAUGAAUGCUUGGUGUGACGGGUAUCGAUCCCUGUCGUGCCGCAGCUAACGCAUUAAGCGCCCCGCCUGGGGAGUACGGCCGCAAGGCUAAAACUCAAAAGAAUUGACGGA
rnacentral:rRNA from 1 species